rnacentral:rRNA from 1 species
AGGACGAACGCUGGCGGCGUGCUUAACACAUGCAAGUCGAGCGGUAAGGCUCCUUCGGGAGUACACGAGCGGCGAACGGGUGAGUAACACGUGAGCAAUCUGCCCUUCACUUUGGGAUAACUUCCGGAAACGGAAGCUAAUACCGAAUACGACCAUUACAGACAUCUGUUGAUGGUGGAAAGUUCCGGCGGUGAAGGAUGAGCUCGCGGCCUAUCAGCUUGUUGGUGGGGUAAUAGCCCACCAAGGCGACGACGGGUAGCCGGCCUGAGAGGGUGACCGGCCACACUGGGACUGAGACACGGCCCAGACUCCUACGGGAGGCAGCAGUGGGGAAUAUUGGACAAUGGGCGAAAGCCUGAUCCAGCAACGCCGCGUGAGGGAUGACGGCCUUCGGGUUGUAAACCUCUUUCAGCAGGGACGAAGCGAAAGUGACGGUACCUGCAAAGAAGCACCGGCCAACUACGUGCCAGCAGCCGCGGUAA